GUCAAUACCUAACCUAAAAAUAUUUUGUACUUGUUUUCCAUAAACUUGUUUAUUCGUCAUUUCUGGUUAUUGUGCAUUGCUUUAAUUAAACUUAAAAAAAAAACAGUUCUUGUAAGAACUCAUUGUAUAAUUUUUUGAUUAAAUAUGGAUGCUACUCCAACUACCAGCGGUCUUUCUUCUCAAAAAGACGGAAAUUGAUAAGUUUGCGCAUUUAUCACUAAACGAAAAACAGAGUAUGAUGAUAAAUUUGUAUAAACCAAUUUUAACUGAUUAACCAAAAAUCAAGUUUACUGAUGUCGUGUUUAAAAUUGUCACAACCAUGGGGAUUGCGAAAUCGACUGUAUAUCGUACGAUAAAAGAAUAUCGAAGUACGGGAACAGUUGUUAGUCCAAAACAUUCUUGAGGUCGUCCAGGCCUUGUUAAAACAUUUAAUGAAACUAGUUAAAGUAUCAUUCGACGAAUUGUACAUAGUUUCUUUUUUAAAAAUGAGAUCCCCACAUUGACAAAAUUUUAAAUGAAAUUGAGAAAAAUACGGAUUUACAAAUUGUCUCUCGUUCAUCAUUAUACAAACUUAAGAAAGAAA